rnacentral:rRNA from 1 species
AUUGAACGCUGGCGGCAGGCUUAACACAUGCAAGUCGAGCGAGCGGCGGACGGGUGAGUAAUGUCUGGGAAACUGCCUGAUGGAGGGGGAUAACUACUGGAAACGGUAGCUAAUACCGCAUACCAUAAGAUGUGCCCAGAUGUGAUUAGCUUGUAGGUGGGGUAAUGGCUCCCCUAGUCGACGAUCCCUAGCUGGUCUGAGAGGAUUACCAGCCAAACUGGAACGGAGACACGGUCCAGACUCCUACGGGAGGCAGCAGUGGGGAAUAUUGCACAAUGGGCGCAAGCCUGAUGCAGCCAUGCCGCGUGUAUGAAGAAGGCCUUCGUGUUGUAAAGCACUUUCAGCGAGGAGGCGUUACUCGCAGAAGAAGCACCGGCUAACUCCGUGCCAGCAGCCGCGGUAAUUC